UACAGAGGGAGCUAGCGUUAUUCGGAAUUACUGGGCGUAAAGCGCACGUAGGCGGCUUUGUAAGUUAGAGGUGAAAGCCUGGAGCUCAACUCCAGAAUCGCCUUUAAGACUGCAUCGCUUGAAUCCAGGAGAGGUGAGUGGAAUUCCGAGUGUAGAGGUGAAAUUCGUAGAUAUUCGGAAGAACACCAGUGGCGAAGGCGGCUCACUGGACUGGUAUUGACGCUGAGGUGCGAAAGCGUGGGGAGCAAACAGG
rnacentral:rRNA from 1 species